rnacentral:rRNA from 1 species
AACGUAGGAGACAAACGUUAUCCGGAGUUACUGGGCGUAAAGGGCGUGCAGGCGGUUUGUUAAGUGCAGGGUGAAAGCUCCCGGCUCAACUGGGAGAGGUCCUUGCAUACUGGCGAACUCGAGGGAGGCAGAGGAAAGUGGAAUUCCCGGUGUAGUGGUGAUAUGCGUAGAUAUCGGGAGGAACACCUGUGGCGAAGGCGGCUUUCUGGGCCUUACCUGACGCUGAGACGCGAAAGCGUGGGGAGCGAACCGG